GGCCUGUUAGCUCAGUUGGUUAGAGCGCUGUGCUAAUAACGUGGAGGUCUUGGGUUCGAUCCCCACGCAGGCCA
rnacentral:tRNA from 1 species